CUUCUGCUGGCGCUCCUGUCCUCCGCAGGUGCUCGCUGUCCUCCAAUGGCACUCCACUUCUAUCCUCUGACAGCGCGCUAGUAACCUCCGCAGGUGUGCUUCCUCUAAUCUCCGCCGGCGCGUUGCAUCUAUACUCCGAUGGCGCUCCCGUCCGCCGCAGGUGCUCCCUGUUCUCUGCAGAUGCUCCCGUCCUCUGCAGGCGCUCGCUGUCCUCUGCUGGUGCUCCACAUCUAUCCUCCAAUGGCACACAACCUGUAACCUCCGCCAGGGUGCUACCUCUUAUCCUCUGCUGGCGCGCUACCUCUAUCUUCUGACGGUGCUCUGUCCUCGGCAGGCGCUCCCUAUUCUCCGCAGGUGCUCCCGUCCUCUACAGGUGCUUGCCGCCCUCAGCAGGUGCUCCACCUCUGUCUUCUGGAAGCGCGCUAUCUCUAAACUCCACUGACGCGCUACCUCUAUCGUCUGACGGUGCUCCCAUUCUCUGCAGACGUUCCCUGUUCUCCGCAGGUGCUCCCAUCCUCCGCAGAUGCUCCAUCACUAUCAUCCAAUGGCGCGCUACCUCUAUCUUCUGACAGUGCUCCUGUCAUCCGCCGGCACUCCCUGUUCUCCUCAGCUACUCCCAUCCUCCGCAAAUGCUCCACAUCUAUCCUCCGACGGCGCACUAUCUGUAACCUCCACCAGUGUCCUACCUCCUAUCUUCUGCUGGCGCUCUACCUCUAUCCACUGGCGGCACACUACGUCUAUCCGUUGCUGGUGUGUUACCACUAAACUCAGCCAGCGAGAUACCUCUAUCUUCUAACGGCGCUCCAGUCCUCCGCAGGUGCUUCCUGUUUUCCUCAGGUGCUCUCGUCCUCUGCAGGCACUCGCUGUCCUCCACAGGCACUCCACCUCUAUCAUCUGACAGAACACUACAUCCAACCUCGGCCGGUGCACUACAUCCAUCCUCCAAUGGCAAGCUACCUCUAACCUCCGCUGGCGUGCUACCUCAAUCUUCUGACGGUGCUCCCAUCCCCCACAGGUGCCGCACCUCUUUCCUCUGCUGGCGCACUUCCUCAAUCCUCUGCCGGUGCACUACCUCUACACUCUGAUGAUGUUCCCAUACUGUGCAGGCAAUCCCUGUUCUCCACAGGUGCUCCUGUCCUCUACAGGCGCUCACCGUCCUCUGGAGGCAAUCCACCUCAAUCUUCUGAAGGCAUGCUAUUGCAAAACCCAGCCAGCGAAUUACUUCUAUUUUCUUACGGUGCUCCCAUCGUCCGCAGGCGCUCCCUGUUCUACGCAGGUGCUCCCAUCCUCCGUAGAAACUCCACCUCUAUCAUCGGAUGGCGAAACAGAACCUCCACCUUGAUGCUCCGACAGCGCACUACCGGUAACCUCCGCCUGUGCACUAUCUUCUACCUCUAUCUUCCGAUCGCGCUCCUGUCAUUUGCAGGCACACCUUGUUCUCUGCAGGUGCUCCCGUACUCCGUAGAAACUCCACCUCUAUCAUCGGAUGGCGCACUACAUCUAACCUCUGCCAGCAAACAAACUCUGUUUUCUGACGGUGAUCCCAUCCUCUGCAAUCACUCCCUGUUCUCCACAGGUGCUCCUUUCAACCACUGACAUUCUACCUCUAUCCACGAACAGCACACUACCUCUAACCUCCGAUAGCGCGCUAACUCUUAUCCUCUGCCAGGAUGCUACUGCUAACCUCCGACGGCGCACGACCUCUAUCUUCAGAUGGUGCUCCCGUCAUCUGCAGGUGCUCCCUGUUCUCCGCAGGUGCUACGAUCCUCCGCAGACCCUCCACCUCGAUCCUCUGAUGGCACACUACCUCUAACCUCUGCCGGCGCACUACCUCUAUCUUCUAACCACGCUCCCAUCAUCUGCAAGCAGUCUCUGUUCUCCGCAGAUGCUCUCGUCCUCCGCAAACGCUCCAACUCGAUCCUCUGAUGAUGCACUACAUGUAACCUCUGCCGGCGCACUAACUCUGUCUUCUGAUGGUGCUCCUGUCCUUGGCAAUCGCUUCCUGUUCUCCGCAGGUGCUCCCAUCCUCCGCAGAAGUUCCAGCUCUAUCCUCUGAGAGUGCACUACCUCUAUCCUCUGCCGGGGCACUAACUAUGCAUUCUGACAGUGCUGCCAUCAUCUACAGAUGUUCUGUGUUCUCUGCAGGUAACCCCAUCAACCACAGGUGCUUUACAUCUAUCCUCUGAAGGCACACUACAUCUAACCUCUGCCGGCGCACUAACUAUGCCUGCUGACAGCACUCCUGUCCUCCGCAGGUGCUCCCUGUUCUCAUGAGGUACUCCGAUCCUCCGCAGACACUCCACCUUGAUCCUCUGAUGGCACACUACCUCUAACCUCUGCUGGCACAAUACCUAUAUCUUCUAACCACGCUCCCAUCAUCUGUAAGCAGUCUCUGUUCUCCACAGAUGGUCUUGUCCUCCGCAGACGCUCCAACUCGAUCCUCUGAUGAUGCACUACAUCUAACCUCUGCCGGCGCACUAUGUCUUCUGACAGCGCUCCUGUCCUCCGCAGGUGCUCCCUGUUCGCUGCAGGUGCUCCCAUCCUUCGCAGACCCUCCACCUCGAUCCUCUGAUGGCACAAUGCCUCUAACCUCUGCUGGCGCACUACCUCUAUCUCCUAACCACGCUCCCAUCAUCUGCAAGUGGUCUCUGUUCUCCGCAGAUGCUCUUGUCCUCCGCAGACGCUUCACGUAUAUCCUCUGAUGAUGCACUACCUCGAAACUCUGCCGGCGCACUACCUCUAUCUUCUGACAACGCUCCCGUCAUCUGCAGGCACUCCUUGAUCUCUGUAGGUGUUCCCGUCCUCUGCCAAUGCUCCACCUCAAUCCUCUGAUGAUGCACUACAUCUAACCUCUGCUGGCGCACUAACUAUGCAUUCCGACAGCCCUCCCAUCAUCUUCAGGUGUUCUAUGUCCUCCGCAGGUGCUCCUAUCCUCCGCAGAUGCUCCACCUCUAUCCUCUGAAGGCACACUGCAUCUAACCUCUGCCGGCGCACUAACUAUGCCUUCUAACAGCGCUCCCGUCCUCCACAGGUGCUCCCUGUUCUCCGCAGGUGCUCCUAUCCUCCACAGAUGCUCCACCUCUAUUUUCUGAAGGCACACUACAUCUAACCUCUGCCGGCGCACUAACUAUGCCUUCUAACAGCGCUCCCGUCCUCCACAGGUGCUCCCUGUUCUCCGCAGGUGCUCCGAUCCUCCGCAGACCCUCCACCUCGGUCCUCUGAUGGCACAAUACCUCUAACCUCUGCCGGCGCACUACCUCAAUCUUCUAACCACGCUCCCAUUAUAUGCAAGCCGUCUGUGUUCUCCGCAGAUGCUCUUGUCCUCUGCAGACGCUCCACAUCUAUCCUCAGACAGCGCACUACCUCUGACCUCUGCCGGCGCACUACCUCUAUCUUCUGACAAUACUCCUAACAUCUGCAGGCACUCCUUGACCUCCGCAGAUAAUCUUGUCCUCUGCAGACGCUCCACAUCUGUCCUCGGAUGAUGCACUACAUCUGACCUCUGCCAGCGCACUAACUCUGUCUUCUGAUGGUGCUCCUGUCCUUGGCAAUUGCUUCCUGUCCUCCGCAGGUGCUCCUAUCCUCCGCAGAUGCUCCACCUCUGUCCUCUGAAGGCACACUACAUCUAACCUCUGCCGGCGCACUAACUAUGCCUUCUGACAGCGCUCCCGUCCUCCACACGUGCUCCCUGUUCUCCGCAGGUGCUCCGAUCCUCCGCAGACCCUCCGCCUCGAUCCUCUGAUGGCACAAUACCUCUAACCUCUGCCGGCGCACUACCUCAAUCUUCUAACCACGCUCCCAUUAUCUGCAAGCCGUCUGUGUUCUCCGCAGAUGCUCUUGUCCUCUGCAGACGCUCCACAUCUAUCCUCAGACAGCGCACUACAUCUGACCUCUGCUGGCGCACUACCUCUAUCUUCUGACAAUACUCCCAACAUCUGCAGGCACUCCUUGACCUCCGCAGAUGCUCUUGUCCCCUGCAGACGCUCCACAUCUGUCCUCGGAUGAUGCACUACAUCUAACCUCUGCCAGCGCACUAACUCUGUCUUCUGAUGCUGCUCCUGUCCUUGGCAAUUGCUUCCUGUUCUCCGCAG
rnacentral:lncRNA from 1 species